rnacentral:tRNA from 1 species
GCUCUGGUAAUGCAGUGGUUAAGCAUUUGGCUGCUAACCAAAAGGUUGGUGGUUUGAAUCCACCAGCU